GACGAACGCUGGCGGCGUGCUUAACACAUGCAAGUCGAACGGAUCACAUUGCUUCGGUUUUGUGGUGAGUGGCGAACGGGUGAGUAACACGUGAGUAACCUGCCCCCUUCUUUGGGAUAACGUCGGGAAAUCGGCGCUAAUACUGGAUAUUCUGGUUUCCUCGCAUGGGGUUUCUGGGAAAGGUUUUCUGGUGGGGGAUGGGCUCGCGGCCUAUCAGCUUGUUGGUGGGGUGAUGGCCUACCAAGGCGGUGACGGGUAGCCGGCCGGAGAGGGUGUCGGGCCACACUGGGCUGCGACACGGCCAGAACUCCUACGGGAGGCAGCAGUGGGGAAUAUUGCACAAUGGGCGCAAGCCUGAUGCAGCGACGCCGCGUGAGGGAUGACGGCCUUCGGGUUGUAAACCUCUUUCGACGGGGACGAUAAUGACGGUACCCGUAGAAGAAGCCCCGGCUAACUUCGUGCCAGCAGCCGCCGUAACAC
rnacentral:rRNA from 1 species